rnacentral:lncRNA from 13 species
UUUGUUUGUACGCUGCUCUUGGGGCAGAGAUAAUGGGACUGAUCCAAAGCCAGCUCCAAAGCAAUCACAAGUCUUUCCUUUGUCUUCAGUGGGGUUUGGAUCAGGCCCAAAGCUCAUAAGCAGUUUUCCACCAAGAGUUCCCAGCACUUAUGUGAGUCACUGGCAACAAGGGAAGGGAUAAAUCCAGCAUCGGCUGCUUCAGAUGCCAGGCACAUUCUGUGUGUGUGUGUGUGUGUGUGUCACAGGGGUGGAUAUAAACUCACACAGUCCGGCUGGGUUCCUGCUAAACUGCAUGACAGCUUGCAAAGGGCAGGCAGCUAUGGGGCUGCUUCCAGGACCGACCUCGAAAGAUUUCAGUCGGAAAAGAGCUGGGAUGUUCUUGGCAGUGACCAAGAAAACUUUUCUUGAGAGCAGCUGCCUGGGCACAGGGAAGGAGCUAGGAUGGCCGCCCGGUCAGGCUGGCACAGAGAGGCCUGCUCAGCCGCAGGAGGGGCCCAGGUGCUGGUGUGUCAUCACUAAACCCUCAGUGAUGGGGAGCCAAGCUUUACCUCCAGCCCCAGGCUCUGCACAGUGA